AGCGAACGUUAGCGGCGGGCUUAACACAUGCAAGUCGAGCGAGAAAGGGGCUUCGGCCCUGAGUACAGCGGCGGACGGGUGAAUAACACGUAGGUAACCUUCCUUCCAGCGGGGGACAACGGUCCGAAAGGACCGCUAAUACCGCAUACGUUCCCUGGGACCCUGGUCCCGGGGAGGAAAGCUCCGCAAGGGGCACUGGAUGAGGGGCCUGCGUAGCAUCAGCUAGUUGGUGGGGUAAUGGCCUACCAAGGCUAAGACGCUUAGCUGGUCUGAGAGGAUGAUCAGCCACGCUGGGACUGAGACACGGCCCAGACUCCUACGGGAGGCAGCAGUGGGGAAUAUUGGACAAUGGGCGCAAGCCUGAUCCAGCCACGCCGCGUGAGUGAUGAAGGCCUCGGUCGUAAGACGUCUCGUGGGUAGGGACGGAAGUAGGC
rnacentral:rRNA from 1 species